UGCAAGUAGAACGCUGAAGAGAGGAGCUUGCUCUUCUUGGAUGAGUUGCGAACGGGUGAGUAACGCGUAGGUAACCUGCCUUGUAGCGGGGGAUAACUAUUGGAAACGAUAGCUAAUACCGCAUAACAAUGGAUGACACAUGUCAUUUAUUUGAAAGGGGCAAUUGCUCCACUACAAGAUGGACCUGCGUUGUAUUAGCUAGUAGGUGAGGUAAUGGCUCACCUAGGCGACGAUACAUAGCCGACCUGAGAGGGUGAUCGGCCACACUGGGACUGAGACACGGCCCAGACUCCUACGGGAGGCAGCAGUAGGGAAUCUUCGGCAAUGGGGGCAACCCUGACCGAGCAACGCCGCGUGAGUGAAGAAGGUUUUCGGAUCGUAAAGCUCUGUUGUAAGUCAAGAACGGGUGUGAGAGUGGAAAGUUCACACUGUGACGGUAGCUUACCAGAAAGGGACGGCUAACUACGUGCCAGCAGCCGCGGUAAUACGUAGGUCCCGAGCGUUGUCCGGAUUUAUUGGGCGUAAAGCGAGCGCAGGCGGUUUGAUAAGUCUGAAGUUAAAGGCUGUGGCUCAACCAUAGUUCGCUUUGGAAACUGUCAAACUUGAGUGCAGAAGGGGAGAGUGGAAUUCCAUGUGUAGCGGUGAAAUGCGUAGAUAUAUGGAGGAACACCGGUGGCGAAAGCGGCUCUCUGGUCUGUAACUGACGCUGAGGCUCGAAAGCGUGGGGAGCGAACAGGAUUAGAUACCCUGGUAGUCCACGCCGUAAACGAUGAGUGCUAGGUGUUGGAUCCUUUCCGGGAUUCAGUGCCGCAGCUAACGCAUUAAGCACUCCGCCUGGGGAGUACGACCGCAAGGUUGAAACUCAAAGGAAUUGACGGGGGCCCGCACAAGCGGUGGAGCAUGUGGUUUAAUUCGAAGCAACGCGAAGAACCUUACCAGGUCUUGACAUCCCGAUGCUAUUUCUAGAGAUAGAAAGUUACUUCGGUACAUCGGUGACAGGUGGUGCAUGGUUGUCGUCAGCUCGUGUCGUGAGAUGUUGGGUUAAGUCCCGCAACGAGCGCAACCCCUAUUGUUAGUUGCCAUCAUUCAGUUGGGCACUCUAGCGAGACUGCCGGUAAUAAACCGGAGGAAGGUGGGGAUGACGUCAAAUCAUCAUGCCCCUUAUGACCUGGGCUACACACGUGCUACAAUGGUUGGUACAACGAGUUGCGAGUCGGUGACGGCGAGCUAAUCUCUUAAAGCCAAUCUCAGUUCGGAUUGUAGGCUGCAACUCGCCUACAUGAAGUCGGAAUCGCUAGUAAUCGCGGAUCAGCACGCCGCGGUGAAUACGUUCCCGGGCCUUGUACACACCGCCCGUCACACCACGAGAGUUUGUAACACCCGAAGUCGGUGAGGUAACCUUUUGGAGCCAGCCGCC
rnacentral:rRNA from 1 species